AGUGAACGCUGGCGGCAGGCCUAACACAUGCAAGUCGAACGGCAGCACAGGGAUUGCUUGCGGAUACGGGGGGCGAGUGGCGGACGGUGCCUGAAUAUAUGGGAAUCUACUGGGUCGCGGGUGCUAACACAGGGAAACUUACGCUAAGACCGCAUACGACGUACGUGGGGAAGCAGGGGACCUUCGGACCUUGCGCGAGCGAAUGUGGCGAUGUCGGGUUAGCUAGUUGAGGGGGUAAAGGCCUACCAAGGCGACGAUCCGUAGCUGGUCUGAGCGGAUGAUCAGCCACACUGGAACUGAGACACGGUCCAGACUCCUACGGGAGGCAGCAGUGGGGAAUAUUGGACAAUGGGCGAAAGCCUGAUCCAGCCAUACCGCGUGGGUGAAGAAGGCCUUCGGGCUGUAAAGCCCUUUUGGUGGGAAGGAAGUGCAGUAGGUUAAUACCCCGCUGUUCUGACGGUACCCAAAGAAUAAGCACCGGCUAACUUCGUG
rnacentral:rRNA from 1 species